UUGGUACUUCAGCAUAAGUACACAUUUUUUGGUAUAUGUAUAUCCAAUGCAAUAUUUGGGACACAUUUAUGCUAAAAUAUGCAUUGUUUAUUCAAAUUUCAAAUUUAACUAAAUGUCUUAUAUU
rnacentral:miRNA from 1 species